rnacentral:rRNA from 1 species
CCUACGGGGUGCAGCAGUGGGGAAUAUUGCGCAAUGGGGGCAACCCUGACGCAGCAACGCCGCGUGAUUGAAGACGGCCUUCGGGUUGUAAAGAUCUUUAAUCGGGGACGAAUUUUGACGGUACCCGAAGAAUAAGCUCCGGCUAACUACGUGCCAGCAGCCGCGGUAAUACGUAGGGAGCAAGCGUUGUCCGGAUUUACUGGGUGUAAAGGGCGUGUAGCCGGGAAGGCAAGUCAGAUGUGAAAUCUGGAGGCUCAACCUCCAAAUUGCAUUUGAAACUGUUUUUCUUGAGUACUGGAGAGGCAGACGGAAUUCCUUGUGUAGCGGUGAAAUGCGUAGAUAUAAGGAGGAACACCAGUGGCGAAGGCGGUCUGCUGGACAGCAACUGACGGUGAGGCGCGAAAGCGUGGGGAGCAAACAGGAUUAGAUACCCGUGUAGUC